ACUAGUACAGUAGUAGUACUAGUAUACAGUAACAUGGAUGUUAAAGAUUUACAACUACUGAGUUUCUGUGUUGGGAAACUUACUAAUUCGGGAGAACCUAAACUGGACCAAGAAGUCAUGACAAAAAUAAAGAAAACAUGCAGGAUGUCAGACGACAACGUAAAACAUACGUUUCACUUACUUUGGACUGAGCUUGAGAAACCACAUUCAGAAAUGCGACUGUCAGCCUUCCAAAUCGUGGAUGAGUUGUUCAACAGGUCGCAUGCAUUCCGAGAGCUGGUGAUUGAGGAUUUCCAAUUCUUUCUUGAGCAAUGUGCGGGGACUGACUUUGAGAAUCCCUUACCAGCCCCAAAGGCAGCUGCCAUGACCCUGCGGAUGCGGUGCCUGACAGCCGUCCACCAGUGGAAUGAGAAGUAUGGUGAAGCUUACAAGAAACUCCAGUUGGGAUACAACUAUCUCAAAGAAUGCAAAGGUAUUAACUUCACAGACAUGCACAGCCAGAGCAUAGGUGAACAACAACGGGAGAAUGAGCGACGAGCCAGACAAGAGAACAUGCUUCGGGACAAGUUAAAAGUUAUUUCUCAGCAAAUGACUGACCUAAUUCCAGAAAUACAGAGCUGCUUGACACAGAUGGACAGCUGCUUUAGCUUGCUUUUGCCACACAUGGGUGAAAACCUGUAUGGAGGACAUGUACCACUUCCUGGGCCAUCGGGACUGAAUAAAGACUCUUGUGAUCUGGAGCUGCAAAAGUGUUGCAAUGAAGAAAGUCUAGAACUUCAACAGAGUCGACCUGAUGAUUCAGCGGCAGCGGAUACAGUUCCAGCCGUGGCUGGAAAAGAUGGUCACAGCAAUAAAGCUAAUACAGAUGGCGCCACGGAUAGAGAACUUGAUGACAUGGAGGAAUCAGAAGAGAGAGAAGACCUGCUGAGACACCAUGGCAUGCAGAGCAAAUAUAGCAUUGACAUUCAGGUGCAGUCCGAGUUGCCAUGGAUUCACGAAACAAUCGACAACACAGACAUAAUCAAUACUGCUGAUGAGCUGCUCAAGAUGCUGAAUACUAAACUGCAACCAGCCGUAGCUGAGUGGAUUACGGUUAUCACAAAGACUGGGGAGAACAUGGAUAUGUUGAAGAAAGCGAUUGACGUCAAACAGGCAAUUGAGGCUGCACGAAAGAAAUAUGCAGAGCUACGAAUUCUUCGCGUGAAGCCCGGGGAAGAAAAUGGAGAAGACAGUGAUGACGAUGAUGAUGGUGAUUUUGAAGAGGUAAAGGAGAAGGAAGGUUAUGAAGCAGACAUUCCAGAGCACCUAAGAGACGAGAUUGAAUUCAAGCCGAAAGAGCCGACACAGGUGAUGGAAGAAGUCUGGAAGCCUAGAAUACAUGUGGAGAACAGUGACAUCGACCCUACAACGAGUACUGCUACCUUGCACAAACUAUCUGCUAAAUACAAGCUCGACCUCACCCAGGCAGGCAAACCAGCAACGCAGGAAAUGUGUGAGGAAGUCGUCGGGCAGCAUGUCGACGGUGCCAAGUCUCCACGCACCAAGCAUCGCGAGGAGAACCUCGCGAGAGCGCCACAUCUCUCGUUCGGCGUCGACCUCGUCGACUGGGACAACCCACUGCCGGCGGGCGCCGUCGUCAGCCGCCGACACGAUCUCUGCCGUUUCUGGAUCGCCGGCGAGGACGAGACGCACGUCUCGACGGAGCUGCUGUCGUCGAUGCGACACCGCGCGAUCCCGUUCGUCGGCGCGUUUGAGCCCGUGAAGCACGCGUGCCGCGCGCCGCUGCCGUCCGGCCGUCUGUGCACGCGCCGCGACCGCCGCAUCUGCCCGUUCCACGGCCGCAUCGUGCCGCGUGACGCCGCGGGCCGGCCGCGCGACGCCGAGGAUCGCGCGCGCAUCGAGCGCGAGGAGGAGCGACGACUCCACGCCGCGACGCCCGAGUGGCAGGACCCGGCGCUGCUGCGUGAGCUGGAGGCGGCGACGGGCAUCGACCUGACCUUGACGGGGAGGGCGAAGGGCAAGGGCAAGGGGAAGGGGAAGAAGUCGAAGGAGACAAAGUUAACGAACGUGAGAGAGAUAGCGAAUACGCCCCGAUCACGGCUUGAGCGUAAAGUGCUGAGCAGGUCGGCGAUAAAGAAGGUCGCAAACGAUUUAAACUCGCUCGAGUACAAGCGGUUCAGAGAUAAAUUCUCAAAUCAAUAUGCCUAUCAGUGAGGUGAUGUAUUGAUUUAUGGCAACGCGAUAUAUGAGUGACAACUACCACGUUUUACAUGAAUUGGUAAUUUAAUUUAAUAAUCAAUAUAUGAAGUAUAAUAUAAGAA